rnacentral:pre_miRNA from 1 species
AAAUAGACAAACCCUGAGUUUCCGUAUCCAACGUUUGACCGUCUGUUUUAUUUGAAAAAAUUAUGAAAGAAAUUAAAAAGACAAGUCACACAUAAAGUAUUAAUCAUGUUUUAUCAUCUAACAACAAUAAAAAUACUAAUUAUAAGAAAAUUUCAUAUAAGAAGGACAGUCAAACGUUGGACAUAGAAAUCUAAGGUUUGUCUUUUU